UGUCUCUUAAGAAAAAUAAAGAAAUAGAUGAAAUAAAAAAACAAAGUGAAGAGAAGGUAACAGCUUUAAAAACUGAAUUAGACGACCAUAAGCAACGGCUGCAAGGAUUGGAAGAUAUUGUGAAACUUAUGUUGCAACAAACUUCUCCUAGUAUAAAUGUUGAUGAAGCGCUUUCUCUCUUGCGAUCUAAGCAAUCGUCAGCAAAUAGUGCACAAGAUCCAAAUUUAGUUCCUCGGCAUUCUCCUCCAUUGACUCAUAUUCCAAAUCAUGAUUAGCUUUCUUAUUGUUGGAUGAAGUUUUCUGAAGACAUAAAGGCAAUUCUUGGCA